GGGGUUGUGGCUCAGCGGUAGAGCGCUCACCUAGCAUGUGCAAGGGCCUGAGUUCGUUCCUCAGCACUACA
rnacentral:tRNA from 1 species